rnacentral:rRNA from 1 species
GAUACUACCCUAGCUGUGUUGGCUUUCUAACCCGCACCACUUAUCGUGGUGGGAGACAGUGUCAGGCGGGCAGUUUGACUGGGGCGGUCGCCUCCUAAAAGGGAACGGAGGCGCUCAAAGGUUCCCUCAGAAUGGUUGGAAAUCAUUCAUAGAGUGUAAAGGCAUAAGGGAGCUUGACUGCGAGACCUACAAGUCGAGCAGGGUC